rnacentral:rRNA from 2 species
UCGAGAAGCUUCGGCAAUGGGCGAAAGCCUGACCGAGCGACGCCGCGUGGGGGAUGAAGGCCUUCGGGUUGUAAACCCCUUUCAGCAGGGAAGAAGCGAAAGUGACGGUACCUGCAGAAGAAGCGCCGGCUAACUACGUGCCAGCAGCCGCGGUAAUACGUAGGGCGCAAGCGUUGUCCGGAAUUAUUGGGCGUAAAGAGCUCGUAGGCGGUUUGUCGCGUCUGCUGUGAAAACCCGAGGCUCAACCUCGGGCCUGCAGUGGGUACGGGCAGACUAGAGUGCGGUAGGGGAGACUGGAAUUCCUGGUGUAGCGGUGGAAUGCGCAGAUAUCAGGAGGAACACCGAUGGCGAAGGCAGGUCUCUGGGCCGCAACUGACGCUGAGGAGCGAAAGCAUGGGGAGCGAACAGG